rnacentral:tRNA from 1 species
GCGGAGAUGGCCCAGCUCGGUAAGGCGCUGGAUUGCUAAUCCAGUGUCCGAAAGGACUCGGGGGUUCAAAUCCCCCUCUUCGCGCCA